rnacentral:piRNA from 1 species
UCGAAGCAAUCGAACUCACAG